rnacentral:rRNA from 1 species
GUCCACGCCGUAAACGAUGGAUGCUAGCCGUUGGUAGGUUUACCUCUCAGUGGCGCAGCUAACGCAUUAAGCAUCCCGCCUGGGGAGUACGGUCGCAAGAUUAAAACUCAAAGGAAUUGACGGGGGCCCGCACAAGCGGUGGAGCAUGUGGUUCAAUUCGAAGCAACGCGCAGAACCUUACCAGCCUUUGACAUCCCGGUCGCGAGCACCAGAGAUGGAGCUCUUCAGUUCGGCUGGACCGGAGACAGGUGCUGCAUGGCUGUCGU